rnacentral:rRNA from 2 species
GUUGGCUUAGAAGCAGCCAUCAUUUAAAGAAAGCGUAAUAGCUCACUGGUCGAGUCGGCCUGCGCGGAAGAUGUAACGGGGCUAAACCAUGCACCGAAGCUGCGGCAGCGAACGUAUCACUUAAAGCGAUUCAGCGGGUUACGAUUGACGGAGCGAAGCGACGUCAAAGCGUAUACAAAGUCGAGUCGGUUUAAGGAUACGUUCGUUGGGUAGGGGAGCGUUCUGUAAGCCUGUGAAGGUGGCCUGUGAGGGUUGCUGGAGGUAUCAGAAGUGCGAAUGCUGACAUAAGUAACGAUAAAGCGGGUGAAAAGCCCG